rnacentral:rRNA from 1 species
UACGUAGGGUGCGAGCGUGGUCCGGAAUUAUUGGGCGUAAAGAGCUCGUAGGCGGUCUGUCGCGUCGAUCGUGAAAACUUGGGGCUUAACCCUGAGCUUGCGGUCGAUACGGGCAUGACUGGAGUUCGGCAGGGGAGACUGGAAUUCCUGGUGUAGCGGUGAAAUGCGCAGAUAUCAGGAGGAACACCGGUGGCGAAGGCAGGUCACUGGGCCGCAACUGACGCUGAGGAGCGAAAGCAUGGGGAGCGAACAGG